GGUACCUCUGGCCUGGCCUUCAUGAGUGCUUCAGGGCUGCAGGCACCUGUUCUUAAUACAUAGUCAGUGUUGAGGGCCAGUGUGUUGACCCAGUGGCCAUGGCCUUGCAGUGUACGGCACAUCACACCCUGAAGAAAAUGACUGAAUUAGUUUCAGAAGUCAGGAAAACAACCUAUGAGGCCAAAAUAGCACACCUGUAGCAGGCACUCACAUCAGUGGCUCUCCAGACUUUGAUGGUUCUGUCCUGAGAGGCAGAGUACAAAAGCCCCUCACCACUCCAACGUAAUGCUGUCACACUUUGUAGGUGAUUGGACAGUAUCUGGUGGAAAAUAUCUCAUUGAGCCCAAGCUGGUGUUCCAAAUCCUCACAUCGCCAUCCUUCCCAGCAGAGGCCAAGCGUGUGCACUUCCCCGAUGCAGCAAGGUGGAGUGGCUCCCAGCAUAGAGAAGUGAUCCAUUGCUUGUGGCCAGUCAAUGUU